rnacentral:rRNA from 1 species
AUUGAACGCCGGCGGCAGGCUUAACACAUGCAAGUCGAGCGGGGGAAGGUAGCUUGCUACCGGACCUAGCGGCGGACGGGUGAGUAAUGCUUAGGAAUCUGCCUAUUAGUGGGGGACAGCAUCUCGAAAGGGAUGCUAAUACCGCAUACGUCCUACGGGAGAAAGCAGGAGAUCUUCGGACCUUGCGCUAAUAGAUGAGCCUAAGUCGGAUUAGCGAGUUGGUGGGGUAAAGGCCUACCAAGGCGACGAUCUGUAGCGGGUCUGAGAGGAUGAUCCGCCACACUGGGACUGAGACACGGCCCAGACUCCUACGGGAGGCAGCGGUGGGGAAUAUUGGACAAUGGGGGGAACCCUGAUCCAGCCAUGCCGCGUGUGUGAAGAAGGCCUUAUGGUUGUAAAGCACUUUAAGCGAGGAGGAGGCUACUCUAGUUAAUACCUAGGGAUAGUGGACGUUACUCGCAGAAUAAGCACCGGCUAACUCUGUGCCAGCCGCCGCUGUAACAC